UACGAAGGGGGCUAGCGUUGUUCGGAAUUACUGGGCGUAAAGCGCACGUAGGCGGACGUGUAAGUCAGGGGUGAAAUCCCGGGGCUCAACCCCGGAACUGCCUUUGAUACUGCACAGCUUGAGUCCGGAAGAGGUGGGUGGAAUUCCUAGUGUAGAGGUGAAAUUCGUAGAUAUUAGGAGGAACACCAGUGGCGAAGGCGGCCAACUGGUCCAUUUCUGACGCUGAGGUGCGAAAGCGUGGGGAGCAAACAGG
rnacentral:rRNA from 1 species